rnacentral:rRNA from 1 species
CGCAUCUGUGCAUGCAGCAUAUCAAUAAGCGGAGGAAAAGAAACUAACAAGGAUUCCCUCAGUAACGGCGAGUGAAGCGGGAAGAGCUCAAAUUUGAAAUCUUGAAAGGUCACCUUUCACGAAUUGUAGUUUAAAGAAGUGUUUUCUGUUACGAUCGUAAUAUAAGUUCUUUGGAAUAGGACAUCACAGAGGGUGAGAAUCCCGUCUAUGAUUGCGAUUUGUAGCUUUGUGAUACACUUUCAAAGAGUCGGGUUGUUUGGGAAUGCAGCCCAAAACGGGAGGUAAAUUUCUUCUAAGGCUAAAUAUUGGCGAGAGACCGAUAGCGAACAAGUACCGUGAGGGAAAGAUGAAAAGAACUUUGAAAAGAGGAGUUAAAUAGUACGUGAAAUUGUCAAAAGGGGAGCGUUUAACACCAGUGUUGGUUUCUGAAAAUCAACCUCUGUUAGCUUUAUGCAUGUCUGUUUAGACCUAAUCAGCUAUCUUGCAUGUUCUAUUGUUUGCAGUGGUGCACUUUUCAGUUUACAGGUCAACAUCAGUUUUUUUUACCGUAAAAAAGUUAAAGAAAGGUAGCUCAUGGCUCCGGUCGUGAGUGUUAUAGUCUUUUUCCUAUGCGGUAGGAGAGACUGAGGUCUGCAGUGUAGGCUAUUUGGCUAGAUACUCAGGUGCUAUGUGAUACCAUUUCAUAAACAACUUGUUGAUUAUGUUUUGUCUAUUGCAUACUCGCUUGUACUAUCAUACCUACGCUUAGGAUGUUGACGAUCAGCUGAGCGCG